rnacentral:lncRNA from 1 species
AUCAUCACUCAAGCAGUUCCGAGCCUCUCUUGGUAAACAGGCAGACCUCUGAGUUCCGCGUUAGCCAAAUCAAGCGAAAACAAUAACAAUGCUAGCCUAACAAUGUUAGCCCACGAACCAAAUGUAGCCAACGAAUCUCCAAGUCAACCUUCACGCACUGCUGAUUAAAUUGUUGUGUAAACAACCAAGACUGUGCGUUAAACCCAGAGAAGUUAAGCGGUUCAAUUAUUAGAAGUAGUUAGUUUAAAAAGAGAUAAUCCUCUUUACGGCAGUAAUUCUUGCCGUCUUCUGCCGUCGAUUUUUGACCUUUCUUCCCAUGAGCCACCGCGCGAUAGUGGGAGAGUCUGGAUUACGUCAAAAUGACAAACGACUGUUCAAAAAUCAAAGCUCAGCCUCUUACAUUGCAAACAAACAAAAAACUAUAUACAUAUGGAAGUGUUCUGUCUUUUAAUGUUUUUAAUUUGUUCUAAUUUGUAAUGCAUAUUCCACUCAAUUAAUUUCCUGCAAACGCAAAAACACGUUUUCCUCUCAAUCUUUCUGAUAGAGUGCUACAGCCCCAGAUGUAUCCGGUUCUCUUGUUUUAGUUGUACGUGUGUUUGUGUGACUGAAUUUGGAUCGCUGAGUGAAUGUUCGGAGUGAAUGAGUUUCUGUAGGUGGCAGAGGGAGAGCAGCAGAAGCAGCUGAUUGAGGACCCGCCCACCAACACCUAAUUAGUUUUCUCAUUUUUUCUACUGAUGUAAACUGAAAACGAAUCCCACAGACCCGAACACCAUACAAGGGUUAAGCUGUUCGACAAAGAUAAGUUCCUCCUUCAUCAAUGCUGAAUUAUAAUUUACUUACAGAUUCACCAGUUCAGCUACCAGUACUUUUUCAUCCUCCUGAAGUGUAUGGUUUGGUGAGGCAAUCUGAAACUUUUGUACUCUUCAUAAGUCAAUCUUGCGAUAAAAAUGGCGAGGACACCAAACACAGUUUUAAGCCAGGUACCAUCUUGGAUGAGGAAAAUAAAGAUGUUCAUGGAUCUAGUCUGCAAGAACGCAUUGGAAUGAAGAACUGCAUCUAUUUCGGGAUAAACUGUAAAAAGUAGGUCAAAUGGAGAGACGGACGUAACGAGGCAGGGAUGACGUCACGAAGGAGGACGGAGGAUGUUGCACUGCGGAUUCUCUAAGAAGGAAGAUGUCCCACUCUGUGCUGACAUUCUACAAACAGGGAUUUGGAUCUUCUAAAACACUUUUAUAUUUAUAUAGAUUAAUAAAGAAAUUAAAACCCCAAUUGUAUGUGCUCUCAUGAAAAAAAUCUACCAUCAAUAAAUUAUGCUUAAAAUAAUCACUAAACGAUUGCAAAGAAAAAAAAAAUCUAAAACCAGGUCAAAAUCCAUGUCUUAAUUUUUGCUCUCUUCUUGCACGCUUCGCCACUUUCGUUUCUUGUUCAGAAAAACGCAUUGACUCACUUCACAAAGAAAAAUCAAUUAACAUGGGAAAAUUGAUUCACUAAUAACCACCUAGAAAAUCAAUGUAAUCUGAAAUGUAUUAAUUCUAUUACAAUAAUAUGCAAUAUUUACACAACAGAAAUUUUAGAAAAGACUCUAAAAAAACUGAUUGUAAUUCAUAUUAAAAUAACAAAGUAUUUACUAAUACGUGACAAUGCUAUUUUUAACUUAAAUUUCAGUUUUAAAAUUGUAUUUUAUGAACAGAUAUUAGUUCAGAGCAAAUUAGUUAAUUAAAAAAGUGUAAAAAAUUAUAAAAUAUAAUGUGUCAUCCAUUUAACAAUUUAGUGGGUCUACACGUUGCAGUUUGAAACAAUUAAUUUACAAAUUUUGACAUUUCUAAUAAAUUUGAUCAGCAUUCAAAUCAAAAUUUUAAAGUUGCUUGACCCAUUUGAUUAAAUGUGAUGGAGCAAAACAGCUGUCCAGCUGGGUCAGACAUUACUUGGCAACAUAUGGUUGUUAGGUAAUCCCAUGAAGCACUGCCCUCGAUCUUGUUUCUGGAAUUUGCGAUGUAGUGAGUGCUCUGUCGUCUCUCUCUCUCUCCUCUCCAUCAGUACGUGCUGCCCGUGUGUCACGCUUGGAAUCCAGACAGCUAGCCAGUUUGCAGCUCCGCCCUGACUCUUUAAAUAGACCUUCCCAUCUGUAGGACCUAUAUUUUGUAACCAAACAGUGCGCAGGAGCUGGUUUUCUUUCAGGGUGUGGGAAAG